UGCAUCAUGACCUAUUUUAGGAGAGACAAAAAAUACUUUGACAAGAAAAUUCAAUCUGAGAGGCUUGAAAUGUGGAUUUAGUCGAGAAAUUACUUAGAAGUGCAGCAGAACAUCUCGUAUAUCGGUAAAGACAAAGCCGUGAGGGAAGAUCGUCGUGUGAAUUUGGAUUAAAAUGGGAAAAGAAGUUUAGAUACUCAUCGUAAAGCUAA